rnacentral:ncRNA from 2 species
CACAUGGAUGCAGGAGAGAGCGGAGACAUGCUUCCAACAUGGCUUUCCGCCGCCGAAGGCGCAACCGGCCCCCGGAACCGCUCAGGCAAAAGGGCUGCAGUUCAUUA